CAGUCGAACGAUGAAGUUCCUUCGGGAAUGGAUUAGUGGCGAACGGGUGAGAAACACGUGAGAAACCUGCCUUUCAUUUUGGGAUAACUCCGGGAAACCGGAGCUAACACCGAAUACUCCGUCUCGGCGGCAUCGCUGAGCCGGGAAAAAAUUUUGAUGAAAGAUGGUCUCGCGGCCUAUCAGCUAGUUGGUGAGGUAAUGGCUCACCAAGGCGACGACGGGUAGCCGGCCUGAGAGGGCGACCGGCCACACUGGGACUGAGACACGGCCCAGACUCCUACGGGAGGCAGCAGUGGGGAAUAUUGGGCAAUGGGCGCAAGCCUGACCCAGCGACGCCGCGUGAGGGAUGAAGGCCUUCGGGUUGUAAACCUCUUUCAGUAGGGAAGAAGCGAAAGUGACGGUACCUAAAGAAGAAGCACCGGCUAACUAUGUGCCAGCAGCCGCGGUAAUACAUAGGGUGCAAGCGUUGUCCGGAAUUAUUGGGCGUAAAGAGCUCGUAGGUCGUUUGCCACGUCGAUUGUGAAAAUCUGAGGCUCAACCUCAGACCUGCAGUCGAUACGGGCAAACUAGAGUGUGGUAGGGGAGACUGGAAUUCCUGGUGUAGCGGUGGAAUGCGCAGAUAUCAGGAGGAACACCAAUGGCGAAGGCAGGUCUCUGGGCCAUAACUGACACUGAGGAGCGAAAGCGCGGGGAGCGAACAGGAUUAGAUACCCUGGUAGUCCGCGCCGUAAACGAUGGGCACUAGCUGUGAGAACCUUCCACGGUUUUCGCGACGCAGCAAACGCAUUAAGUGCCCCGCCUGGGGAGUACGAUCGCAAGAUUAAAACUCAAAGGAAUUGACGGG
rnacentral:rRNA from 1 species